GGCUCAUCCCAUCUUCCUGUUUAUUUCUGAUGAGAGCAAUGACCGCGUCUGCACGGCGCGUCCCAGCCCUGCGUGCUCACAGCCACAUCCAGCCGGGCCCAGCUGUCCCUCGAGGGGAUGCCACGUAUCCCCCCCAGCCAUUGGGAUCCAUUGGGGUCUGGUUUUCCUCCACUCUGCGUCUCCCCAGCACGAUGGCUGUGCUCAGCCCCAGUGGCUGUGCAAAGCUUCUGUGUGGAACGAGAUUUAAAGCAGCGCAGCAAAGAGGUGAUAGAAAAACCAAACUCUAUUAAAAACCCAUUUUCUGCAGGUCUGCGCUAAGACGAUUAAGAAGAACUUUAGUGAUGGGUUUUAUAAUCCUUCCUGAAAGGGAAAUGAGCCUCCGGUUCCCUCCUCGCUGUCCUGCCCUGUCCCCAACGGGGACGCUCCCACGGUGACCCUGCACCGCUGUUCUCCCGGCACCUCUGGGCUUUGCUCAUUCCUCACUUGGCUCUGGAGCUGCUGUUGGACACAGAGGGCAGCGCUGGUGCUUCCUGCGGGCACAGGGGAUGCUCUGCGUGGUUCACAGCUGCCCGCGGGGUUGGGAUGCUUUGGCGGCAGUGCCAUCGGGUAAGCAGUGCGGAGCUGCUGGAUCCACACCGGCAGCGGUCACAGAGCAGGCUUCCCACAGCCUGUUGAGCGCAUGGCUGUGAAGGAAUUGAUCCCCGCUGUUUCAUUUAUUAGACGGUGUAAUGCCACGGAAACCGUUUCCACAAUAUCCCAAACCGAAUCAUUUAUUCUUGACAAAAAAUCCAAUAAAGAGCUCAGUCCUCCUCCAUAGGCAGAUAAAGCCCAGAUUAACGGGACUGUUUAGAUCAGAAAAAAAGAAUAAGGAGGAAAAGCCGGGAAAAUGAGGGUGGGAUGUAGAGGAGACUUCUUCCUCAUUCUCUCUUCCCCAAGGCUGCUGCGGCUCAGGAUUUUAUUACAAAAAGCCACCUAAAUAUUACAGGCUAAUCCGUAAAUCCCAGCCUAGUAAAAUAUGUGAUGGAUUUUGUAAAUUGUGCCCUUUACAAAUCUGAUUGAACUCCUUUUUCCUUGCUGGUUUGCUUUUCUUCUCCUUCCUCUCUCUCCUCCCUGGGGAUUUGCUUUACCUCAAGGACCACGAAGCCUUUUGGUGCCGCUGUCCUGGCCCUGCUGGGGAGCUGCCUAUUGCUGUGGGAUGGGUGCAUGCUGGCAGCACCGAGAAUGUGCAGUGCUCGGCCCUGGAAACAAGGCUAUCCGUUUCAAUUAGAGCAAGCAGGAAAGCUGCUAUUAAGUGCUUCGUUAUUAUGGUAAUGGAUCUACUCUGCAUGCACGGGG
ensembl:lncRNA